rnacentral:rRNA from 1 species
CCUACGGGAGGCAGCAGUAGGGAAUAUUGCACAAUGGGCGAAAGCCUGAUGGAGCAACGCCGCGUGGGUGAAGAAGGUCUUCGGAUCGUAAAACCCUGUUGUUAGAGAAGAAGGUGAGUGAGAGUAACUGUUCACGUUUGGCCGGUAUCUAACCAGAAGGCCAGGGAUAACUACGUGCCAGCAGCCGCGGUAAUACGUAGGGGGCAAGCGUUAGCCGGAUUUAUUGGGCGUAAAGGGAACGCAGGCGGGCUUUUAAGUCUGAUGUGAAAGCCUUGGGCUUAACCGGAGUAGUGCAUUGGAAACUGGGAGACUUGAGUGCAGGAGAGGCGAGUGGAACUCCAUGUGUAGCGGUGAAAUGCGUAGAUAUAUGGAAGAACACCAGUGGCGAAGGCGGCUCUCUGGUCUGUAACUGACGCUGAGGUUCGAAAGCGUGGGUAGCAAACAGGAUUAGAUACCCCAGUAGUC